rnacentral:rRNA from 1 species
GACGAACGCUGGCGGCGUGCUUAACACAUGCAAGUCGAACGGAAAGGCCCUGCUUUUGUGGCGUGCUCGAUUGGCGAACGGGGGAGUAACACGCGUGUAACCUGCCCCUGACUUUGUGAUAUCAUCAGGAAACUGCGGCUAAUACCGCAUAGGAGCUCCUGAUGCAUGGUGGGGGUUGGAGAGAUUCGGCGGUGCGGGCUGGACUCGCGGCUUAUGAGCUUGAUAGUGGGGUAGUGGCUUACCAAGGCUGUGACGGGUAGCCGGCCUGAGAGGGUGAACGGGCACCUUGGGACUGAGAGACGCAGCAGACGCGUAUGGGACGCAACAGUCGGGAGCAUUGCGCAGCGGGCCGGCGCCUGAUGCAGCAACGCCGCGUGCGGGAUGCCCUGUUACGAGUUGUAAACCGCUGUCGAAUGUACCGAGGCGUGAGUGACGGUACUGAGUCAGGAAGCACCGGCUAACUACGUG